GACAGAGGUCCCAAGCGUUAGGCGGAAUCACUGGGCUUAAAGCGUGUAUAGGCGGAUUUGUAAGUACCUUGUGAAAUCCCACGGCUCAACCGUGGAACUGCUUGGUAUACUGCUUAUCUUGGGCCAUCUAGGGGCGAGCGGAACAAACGGUGGAGCGGUGAAAUGCGUAGAUAUCGUUUGGAACGCCAAUGGUGAAAACAGCUCGCUGGGGAUGUGCCGACGCUGAGAUACGAAAGCCAGGGGAGCGAACGGG
rnacentral:rRNA from 1 species